rnacentral:rRNA from 1 species
UACGGGGGGGGCAAGCGUUGUUCGGAAUUACUGGGCGUAAAGGGCUCGUAGGCGGCCAACUAAGUCAGACGUGAAAUCCCUCGGCUUAACCGGGGAACUGCAUCUGAUACUGGAUGGCUUGAGUUCGGGAGAGGGAUGCGGAAUUCCAGGUGUAGCGGUGAAUGCGUAGAUAUCUGGAGGAACACCGGUGGCGAAGGCGGCAUCCUGGACCGGCACUGACGCUGAGGAGCGAAAGCCAGGGGAGCAAACGGG